GUCUACUUUCUCUUUCUCUCUCAUCAUUGUUAACGCCAUUUUUGGCAAAGGUUCAGAGCUCUUUCACUUUGUCCAAGCCUGUGUGGCCUUAAAGAGCAAAGAAAUUAAUGCUUUUCAACCAUUACCGCCACAAAUCAAUCAAAAAAGAUGCUAGCGGUUUUAUUUAUUUGAUUUUUCUUAUUAUUUCUGCAAAAUCAAACGGUCAACACGGUGAAAUUUUAAUGGUUCUUGUUUGUUUCAAUUUUGAAUACCGUGUUCUGAUUGGUUCUUGAAGAACCUUUUUGUAUUGAUUUUUGUUGGUUAAAAUCCAACCCUUGAUGCUUUAUUUUCUCUCAAUCUCGACCCUACAAUAUAAAUAUGUGAGGAGAAAAUCUCACUUUUUGGAUUUUUCCCACAUCGAUCAAACUAGGGUUUGGGAUUUUGGGAGUUUCUAUAUAAAGGGCCCUAGUUACAUCGUUUAUGGGACCAAGAGAUAGACUUUGGCAUCUGAAUACUUCACUUGCAUACAAAAAGUUAAAUACCUAGGGUUUCUAGCUUUAAUUGCCUGAGACCUUUAAUUUUCAGCUUAAGAUUAAAGUUUUAAAGUUUGUUUCUUUAUUUGUUUUUGUGUGGUUUCCUAUGUCGUUCUGAGCAUUUGGGGGAACAAUUGGAUUCUCCAAGUUCAAAUCUCGACCAAGGCUGCACAAAUAAGAGUGGUAGCAAGUGCAAGACGCUCUUCAACGUGAUACAAUUUAUUUGGCGAAAGGAUCACAUUUGCGACAAGUCGGAUUUUCAAGAAAAGAUUCUGAGCAAAACGGGAACUGAGUUUUGGGCGAGCGUAAGUCGUAUAUAAGGUA